UACACAUUCGUUCAGCUCGUAGAUUCAGACGCUAUUCUCUGCAACAAUGGGGUAUGCUAGUUCAUCAUCUGUAUCAAAUUUUCCGUUAUUGUUGUUUUUGUUAUCGAAUUGUCCAUCCUUUUAAUUUUAAAAAUUAUCGUUGGUUUAUGCUUUCGCUGUUUGGAGUAAAUUUUGCUCGGUUUUGAGUAUUCAUGGUUGUAUGAACUAUGAAGUGAUUCUAGUAGUUUUUUUCUAAAUAAUGGAUUAGAAGUGAUAGAUAAAGGAUUAUGGUUGUUGUUCGUAGUUUGCCGUUACUUUCUUCCUCCAUUCGUUUUAAUUUUUUUUUAAUUGUUUCGUCGAGUAUAUAUCAUUUUAAUUAAUAGUAGAUGAUGAUUCAAUGGUUAUCACUGUAUUUCUCCUACCAUUGAGAUGCUUGCUUAGAUGUGUAUUAUAGCUGGUAGUGAAAGGAAUAUGUCAAAGUAGUUGAUCAACUAUUCAAAUUGACCAUUUAUCUACUGGCAUUCUUGUGAAGUUGGAACUUUUGUUCCGGAUUGAUCAUCGUUAAAUAGUGAUUUUGUAUCGAGAUGGACUAGUCUCAAUCGGCUGGUCAUUGAUCAUCUUGGUAAUGAAUGGAAGAAGCCAUUUGCUGGAUCAUCUCAUGCUAAGGGCAUUGUGCUUGAGAAGAUAGGCAUUGAAGCUAAGCAGCCGAACUCUGCCAUCCGUAAAUGUGCUAGAGUCCAGCUCAUUAAGAACGGAAAGAAGAUUGCUGCCUUUGUUCCCAAUUGCAGCAAUUUUUCAGAUUGUCAUUUUUCAUCGCCUUCUUGAACUAAACUUACAGCAUUGUUUCAUUUUCUCUAUGCUCAGGAUGAAGUAUUGAUUACCGGAUUUGGACGUAAGUGUCAUGCCUUUGGAGAUAUUCCUGGUGUUCGAUUUAAGGUGGUGAAAGUGUCGGAGUUUCCCUCCUAGCCCUCUUCAAGGAGAAGAAGGAGAAGCCUAGGUCUUAAGCCAUUUUUCUGAUUAAGUUUUGAUAAAAAUGUUUGAAACUUGGUGUUUGCUCAUCUUUUCUUUAUUUGUAAUUAACUAUACAGAGUUACUAGUAAGAUUUAAUUGUUUUCGUAUUCUUA